UUGACUUUGAUGUUUCUGUCAGUUAGUCAGUUGGCAUUUUUUGUUUAACUAUUUGCUUAAAAUGGAAGAAAUUCCACAAAAUAUAAGAGAAAAGGCCAUAAAAGCGACCGAAAAUCUUUUGCUAGUUAAAUCAAGGCAACAGUAUGAUCGGGAGUAUGGCAUAUUUGGUAUUUGGAAAGAUGCCAACGUAAUUGUUCAAAUAACCGAAACCGUUCUAAUGGCAUAUUUUUAGGAACUGUCGGAAAAAUACAGUCCGAACUCUCUCUGGACCAAGUAUUCUACCCUAAAGUCUACGUUAAUUGUCUAUAAAAAUAUAGACAUCUCGCAAUACCAUCGUCUCAUAUCUUUUUUAAAAGUUAAGUCGAAAGGAUAUGUCCCGAAGAAGUCUAAAGUUUUGGAAGGAGAACAAAUAAUAAAAUUUAUUAAGAAGGCUCCUGAUGGUAUCUACUUGGUACACAAAGUCAUAUUGGUAAUGGGUGUUUUUGGACGUUUAAGACGAGAUGAGUUGGUCAAAAUGACCAUUGAUGAUAUUGAAGAUAGAGGAACGGUCUUGGUUAUAAAGGUACCAUAAACUAAAAUUUCAACUUCAAAAAAUUUUACUAUCAUUGAAGAAGAUUUAGGCGCUUUAAAUUUAAUAAAAAAAUACGCAGCAUUAAGACUAGCUGGAAUAAAGGAGGGAAGAUUCUUUCUUACCUAUAGAAAGAGUCGCUAUACAGUACAACCUGUAGGAAAAAAUACCAUAGAAAGCGUCCCAACAUUGAUCGCAAAAUUUUUAAAACUGGAUAAUGCAGAAGCUUAUACCGGCCACUGUUUGCGUCGCCCAUCGUCAACUUUACUUGUUGAGGCAGAAGUUAAGAAGAGAGUCUAGCUUCGUUUGAAAUGCUAAAACAACAUGGGAAAUGGAAAAGCUCUUCAGUAGCUGAAGGAUAUAUAGAAGAAAGUAUUUCAUCCAAAAAUAAAGUAGCAAAAAUGAUUGCCAAUUCAGUUAAUUCCGAGGUUAAUUCCGUAUCGACUAUUGAAAAUUCUUUAAUGGACAAUUUACAAACUAUACAAAAUAGCGUUAGUGCUGCCACCUCUACCAUCACAAAAAACACCGACCAUUCUAUAGUGGGAUCUAUAUUUGUGUGGGAAGCUAUAUUUUCCGGGACAUUUCAAAAUUGUAAUUUUUAUUUUGGAAAUAAAGUUUAAUUUUUAGUA
rnacentral:lncRNA from 1 species